rnacentral:rRNA from 1 species
GAGUGUAGGGUUCCUAGCGAGCCCAACCUCCCACCCGUGUUUACUGUACCUUAGUUGCUUCGGCGGGCCCGCCAUUCAUGGCCGCCGGGGGCUCUCAGCCCCGGGCCCGCGCCCGCCGGAGACACCACGAACUCUGUCUGAUCUAGUGAAGUCUGAGUUGAUUGUAUCGCAAUCAGUUAAAACUUUCAACAAUGGAUCUCUUGGUUCCGGCAUCGAUGAAGAACGCAGCGAAAUGCGAUAACUAGUGUGAAUUGCAGAAUUCCGUGAAUCAUCGAGUCUUUGAACGCACAUUGCGCCCCCUGGUAUUCCGGGGGGCAUGCCUGUCCGAGCGUCAUUGCUGCCCAUCAAGCACGGCUUGUGUGUUGGGUCGUCGUCCCCUCUCCGGGGGGGACGGGCCCCAAAGGCAGCGGCGGCACCGCGUCCGAUCCUCGAGCGUAUGGGGCUUUGUCACCCGCUCUGUAGGCCCGGCCGGCGCUUGCCGAACGCAAAUCAAUCUUUUUCCAGGUUGACCUCGGAUCAGGUAGGGAUACCCGCUGAACUUAAGCAUAUCA